rnacentral:lncRNA from 1 species
UGUUCUGGUAAGGUGAGUCUUCAUCAUACACCACUUUAUCGAUGUUGUACUCAACCAGGCGACCAUCAGCAGUGGGCCAGUAUCUGUCAAUGGCCCCUCCUCGAACUAUGGGUGGUAAUCGCUUUACCCGCUCAGUACUGUCCUGACUCAAUUCUUUCAUUCUUUCUUCUACUUUGUUCAAAAGCUUUGGCGCCGAGCUUGAAGUCGAGGGUGCUGUGCCGUGCUGCUGCCAUAGUGAGGCGAGGCCCUGGGCCAUGCCUGGGGGAGACGGCCGGGGAGACUGGGGGGGCCGCGCGGCGUGUCAGGCUGCGGCCUGGCAGUCCUACUUUAAAAAGAACUAACUCCAGAUUUAGUGAAGCUGGCAUCCCUCAGUGCAUUCUCAGACUGGAUCAGGGUAUGGGAACUGUCUGAACCAUCCUUGAAAAUUUUUUGCAAAUAAAAAACUUUUCUAAAAUAAGAGGCUUACUAAAUAUUAAAAAUC